CCUACGGGAGGCAGCAGUGAGGAAUAUUGGUCAAUGGACGAGAGUCUGAACCAGCCAAGUAGCGUGAAGGAUGACUGCCCUAUGGGUUGUAAACUUCUUUUAUAUGGGAAUAAAAUGUUCCACGUGUGGGAUUUUGUAUGUACCAUAUGAAUAAGGAUCGGCUAACUCCGGGCCAGCAGCCGCGGUAAUACGGAGGAUCCGAGCGUUAUCCGGGUUUAUUGGGUUUAAAGGGAGCGUAGGUGGAUUGUUAAGUCAGUUGUGAAAGUUUGCGGCUCAACCGUAAAAUUGCAGUUGAAACUGGCAGUCUUGAGUACAGUAGAGGUGGGCGGAAUUCGUGGUGUAGCGGUGAAAUGCUUAGAUAUCACGAAGAACUCCGAUUGCGAAGGCAGUUCACUGGACUGCAACUGACACUGAGGCUCGAAAGUGUGGGUAUCAAACAGGAUUAGAUACCCUUGUAGUC
rnacentral:rRNA from 1 species